GACGAACGCUGACGGCGUGCUUAACACAUGCAAGUCGAAGGGAGUGGCGAACGGGUGAGUAACACGUGAGUAACCUGCCCUGUUAUUUGUGAUAAGCCUGGGAAACUGGAGCUAAUACUGGAUGGUUUGGGAUGGGCUUGAGGCGUAUAAGAUUGUUGGUGGGGUGAUGGCUUACCAAGGCUUUGACGGUUAGCCGGCCUGAGUGGGUGGUCGGUCACACUGGUACUGAGAUACGGCCCAGACUCCUACGGGAGGCAGCAGUGGGGGAUAUUGCACAAUGGACGAAAGUCUGAUGCAGCGACGUCGUGUGGGGGAUGAAGGCCUUCGGGUUGUAAACUCCUUUCGCCCGCGGAAUGGUAGUGGGUAAAGAAGCGCCGGCUAACUACGUGCCAGCAGCCGCGGUAAUUC
rnacentral:rRNA from 1 species